UCUAGCUCGAUCCCGGGCCGGGCGUCUUGAGCCGUUAGCAGCGCCGUGUCUGGGUGUCCUCUCCUCACUCGUGAACGGCGCUGUCUCUGAGCAUCGUGGUGUACUCCAUUUGACAUCCUCUGCAUCAGUCUUCUGUAUUAUAAAUAGGUAGAUACGCCUCUGCUUCCUGUCAGACUACCAAGCUGAUCGCCAGCAGCACUGCAGCAGGCGCUCCCCUGUUCCGGCGUCGCCGUCUAAAGCUCUCUAUCUUCAAGGCGCUUCUGGGCUUUCUUUGGACAGCGGAACAUGAGCCUUGCAAGCUUAAGCGGGAAUGACCCAAAUCCUUCCAGCGCUCCGUCGGCGCUCCGAAGCAUAACGAGGUCCGUCGACAGAAACGGCCAUAGGUACGCGGAUGGCAAUGCUGGGUAUGAAAUGGUUCUUGCAAAGGAUCAGAAUCCUAAUCCAUCACGCAUUGCAACCCUCUCAAACAAGAUGGUGUCAUUUCCUAGCUUCAUCUCGGACAACGGGACCAUGACCAUAAGCACUCCGGUGAGGUUCGGCCCGUGGGGCGGCACCGGCGGCACCAUAUUCGACGACGGCAUAUUCACCGGCGUCCGGCAGAUCAACAUAACGAGGGGGCUGGGGAUAUCCUCCAUGAAGGUCCUCUACGACCGCAACGGGCAGGCCAUCUGGGGCGACAAGCGCGGCUCCAGCGGGGCCGCGAGGCCGGAGAAGAUCAUAUUCGACUUCCCGACGGAGAUCCUGACGCACGUCACCGGGUACUUCGGGCCGACGAUGAUCAUGGGCCCGACGGCGAUCAAGUCCAUCACCUUCCACACGACCAAGAAGAGCCACGGGCCGUUCGGGGACGAGACCGGCACCUUCUUCUCCAGCUGCCUGACGGAAGGGAGGAUCGUGGGGUUCCACGGCAGGGGCGCGUGGUACGUGGACAGCAUCGGGGUUCACGUCCUGGAAGGCAAGGUGCUGUCGGAGAAAUCCGCCGGCACGACCCCGUUGGGCGACAUGCUUGCACUGCCGAUGAGGGAGAUCGGGGACGAGGUUACGUACGGCGUGGUGAAAGAACCGAUACCGAUAGGGCCCGGGCCGUGGGGAGGGGAGGGGGGCAAGCCGUGGGACGACGGCGUCUACACGGGCAUCAAGCAGAUCUACGUAACCAGAGACGACUUCAUCGGGUCCAUACAGAUCGAGUAUGACCGGAGCGGGCAGUCCGUCUGGUCUACCAGGCACGGCAACGGCGGCCAGAUCACACACAGGAUCAAGCUGGACUAUCCACACGAGGUGCUGAACUGCAUAUACGGCUACUACAACACCUGCGUGGGGGAAGGGCCCAGGGUGCUGAGGUCCAUCACCGUCGUGAGCAGCCGGGGCAAGUACGGGCCGUUCGGCGACGAGGUCGGGACCUACUUCACCUCCGCCACGACGACGGGGAAGGUGGUCGGCUUCCACGGCCGGAGCGCCAUGUACCUGGACGCCAUCGGGGUGCACAUGCAGCACUGGCUGGGGGACAGGAACACCGCCACCGCCGCCAAACCUAAGGCCAGCUCCGUUCCCAAGAUCGCCGGCCCCAACCCCAAGACCGGCUCGGAUAACCCCAGGGCUGGCUCUACCACCAAGUACUACGUCUCCAAGUAUCUCUUUUGAUUUCGCUUCGCCUACCAUUUCAGUUUGCAGGAGAGUGCUUUUGCGGGGUUUUUUCUACCGGGGAAUCGUGGCGUGAAUGUGUGGUCUUUGUUACUGUAGUAUCUUGUAUCGAAGGCAGAGCUAUACAUCCGGUUGGGGUGUGUUACGGCAACCGGGGAUCAGAGUAUCAGAAUUCAGAGGACUAGUUAAAAGGAACAUCUCAUACUGUUUCAAACGAGCAUCAAGAUCAGAUGACAUGAUCAUGACAUAUGUAACCCGCAAACCUUCUCUUGCACUCCUGGGGGAUAAGUAGUGCAGUGACAUGAUCUUCCAUCCUUUGUCACAUAGUACAUUUCAAACAAUUGCAUAGUACUCUCUCCGUAAAGAAAUAUAAGAGCGUUUAUAUCACUACUCUAGUGAUCUGAACGCUUUUAUAUUUUUAUAAAAGAAUCAUAAACUCCAUGACACUAACAUCCCAAGUUGGCAUUUAAGAAGAAAUGAGAGCCACGGCUCAUCAAGCUUCGAACCCAGACGGGCGACGCGUGGACACACACUCUUAGCCACUCGAGCUUUGCUCUGUUCUCAUGGCAUUUCAACAAUCAUUUGAAUGAUUCAAAUGCAUCAUAUGCAACAUUUCGAUUACAAAUACACAUAUAGUUCAUUGAAUCGAACAAUUUAAAUUAAAACAUGCAUAUACUUCAUCAAGCCACCAAAUUGAUCAAGUUUAC
rnacentral:rRNA from 1 species